rnacentral:tRNA from 1 species
GGUUAGGUAGCCUAGCAAUUAAGGCAGCCCAUACAAGUUGGGUCCGAUUACAGAUGCAGUACUUGGUCGCUGGUUUGAAUCCAGCUCUGACCA